rnacentral:rRNA from 1 species
UACGGAGGGUGCAAGCGUUAUCCGGAUUCACUGGGUUUAAAGGGUGCGUAGGUGGGCAGGUAAGUCAGUGGUGAAAUCUCCGGGCUCAACCUGGGAAUGGCGAUGGAUACUGGCGAGCUAGAGUGUGUCAGAGGGUGGUGGAAUUCCCGGUGUAGCGGUGAAAUGCGUAGAGAUCGGGAGGAACAUCAGUGGCGAAGGCGGCCUUCUGGACCAAUACUGACGCUCAUGCACGAAAGCGUGGGGAGCAAACAGG